rnacentral:rRNA from 1 species
UACGGGGGGGGCGAGCGUUGUUCGGAAUUACUGGGCGUAAAGGGUUUGUAGGUGGUCUGCUAAGUCAGACGUGAAAUCCCUCAGCUUAACUGGGGAACUGCGUCUGAUACUGGCGGACUUGAGGACAGGAGAGGAACGCGGAAUUCCAGGUGUAGCGGUGAAAUGCGUAGAUAUCUGGAGGAACACCGGUGGCGAAGGCGGCGUUCUGGACUGUUUCUGACACUGAAAACCGAAAGCCAGGGGAGCAAACGGG